rnacentral:lncRNA from 1 species
GUCCGACUCUUUGCCACCCCAUGGACUGCAGCACGCCAGGCUUCCUUGUCCAUCACCAACUCCCAGAGCUCACUCAAACUCAUGUCCAUUGAAUCGGUGAUCCCAUCCACUGUUUUAACAACAUUCACAUAUACCACGCUGUUGGCGCUGUGUAGUCGCAAAGUCAUGUUCGACUCUUUGCAGCUCCGUGGACUGUAGCCACCAAGCUUCUCUGUACAUGGAAUUCUACAGGCAGGAAUGCUGAAGCAGGUUGCCAUACCCUCUUCCAGGGGAUCUACACAACCCAAGGACUGGACAUGCGUCUCCUGUGUCUCCUGCAUGCAGGCAGUUUCUUUACUGCUGAUCCACCAGGGGAGCCCGACACACUCUGUCAGGAGUGAAAAAUGGAAGACUUGUGGAACUUAA